rnacentral:rRNA from 1 species
UACGGGGGGGUGCGAGCGUUGUCCGGAAUCACUGGGCGUAAAGGGCGCGUAGGUGGUCUGAUAAGGGUGUGGUGAAAGUCCGGGGCUCAACCCCGGAUCUGCCGUGCCGACUGUCAGACUCGAGGACUGUAGAGGCAGGCGGAAUUCCGGGUGUAGCGGUGGAAUGCGUAGAGAUCCGGAGGAAGACCGGUGGCGAAGGCGGCUGCUGGGCAGUUCUGACACUGAGGCGCGACAGCGUGGGGAGCAAACAGGAUUAGAAU